UCCCAAGCUACAAAGAGCCAACGGUGGAUGCCUUGGCGCCAGAUGCCGAUGAAGGACGUGGACGGCUGUGAUAAGCCACGGGGAGCUUAUCAAGCUUCGAUCCGUGGAUCUCCGAAUGGGGAAACCCGG
rnacentral:rRNA from 1 species